UGUUGCUCAGAACUCCAUCCAGCCUGACCUUGAAUGUUUCCAGGGAUGGGGCAAUCACCACCUCACUGGGAAAUCUCUAGGUUCCAGUGUUUUACCACCCUCAUCAUAAGAGGAUUUCUUCCCUAUAUCUACUCUGAAUGCCUCUUUUAAUUUGAAAACAUUACCCAUUGUCCUAUCACCACAGGCCUACCAAAAAUCUGUCCCCAUGUGUCUUGUAUACACCUUUUAGGUAUUGGAAAGCUGCAACAAUAUCUCCCCCAGAGUCUUCUCUUCCCCAGGCUGAACAGCCCCAACUCUCUUCAUCGGAGAGGUACUCCAGCCCACUGAUCAUCUUUAAGGUCUCCUUCUGAGCUUGGCUCAAUGUCCUUCCUGUGGUGAAGACUUCAGAGCUGGAUGCAGUACUCCAGGUGGAGUCUCACCAGAAUGGAGCAGAAGGCCGGAGUCACCUCUCUUGACCUGCUGGCCAUGCUGACAUUUUAAAUUUUUUUAGCAAUGAGCACUUCCCCUUUGUGCAAAUAGGGGCCACACAGACAGUUUGAUCAUUCUUCUGGUUUUAGUAGGGUUCUUCAGGGGUUUGGACCACACAUAUGCUUUGCUGUUCAACUCUCAUCUCCUGGGUGCAUGUGGAUGUUUCAGGGGCAGCCAUUUGUCUGUGUGCACACCUGGCUAACUGGGUGCAGCUAUAUGGCCAUCGGCCGAAGGUCUGCAACACUCCCCUUGCAUCGGACUCAGCUUUCAAGAGCUUAUUUGACUGCUAGGUGUCCUGGCAUGGUGGAUGCAAGGCCCAACCCACUCAGGGAGGGUUACAUGGGAAGUGCCAAGCACCAUUACCAUUACAUGGAUUUUCUCAAGGCAAGAGAGGUCUUCUCCUAGCUCAACAAACCUCCUAUAGGAUUUUACCCCAAUCUCAUUUUACAAAGUUGCUCUUGAAUGACAAUGCAAGACCGUAGUCCCCUUGCUGUAGUCUGAGCUUUUCAGUCCACAUGAGCCAUGACUUUCUUUCUGGCUCCCCUUUGACAGACAUGUAGAGACGUAUCUUGUAGUGGAUGCCUUUUCCCAAGAGAUUGUUCUCCUAAAUAUGCCACAUUACAGUCUAAAAAUCCAGACAGGCCAAGAUUUUCUUAGAAGUACUGACCAUCAGAUCUAAGAAAGUGAAUUGUUUUGAUAAUGGAAUGAAAAUCUCCUUGUUUUUUUAAAAAAUCAGUUUACAAAAUGGAGACCGUUUAGUGGGGAGGGAGCGGAGAAUUAAGUUUAGAACUUAAUUCCUCCACACUCAACAGGCUCAUUUACAGGAAGAAUACAACAAAUCUCUUGUUUUUGCAGCACAAGGCCUUUAUACAGGUAAACACGUUGAGAAUGCUGCCUGUAGUGUUUGCCCAGCUAAACCAUAAAGAAUUCCUGGUAGCAGAGGGGAUCUAGUGCCAUUGCCCAGCCCCGGCAACCUCUACUUUCCUCCUGCCUCCCUAUUGCCAGGGGAGGGAAACUGCCAGUCACCCUAUUCCUCUGAAACUGUCCAGCAGGUUUAUUCUGAGUACAGACAGAGUGGUCUUCCAUUUUGCAAUUACAGAAACAAGAAUAUCCUGUUGAGUUUCUCACUUUCCUCCCUUCCCCACUGCCACCGCUUGGUAUGACUGUAAGGAAUAUAAAUGGAACAGGAAAUUUGACCACAUCCAGGAUCAAUGUCAUUAAAGACACAUCUUGUUUUAAAAUCUAAUUUUAUAUAACUGCUGUGUUAUAUAAUAUGCUUUUGUUUGUCGUCUUGAUUUUUAUCGAGGUAGUGUACAUUCCCCUGGACCUUUUCAUGAAGGAAUGUUUAUACCUGUGGGCAGGCACUAAUGGCAGUGAAAGGCUUGCAUUCACGGGAACAGCAUUUAGCAAUUCAUGGUUGCCAAGGGUGAUGUGCAGUGAAGGCUCAGCCCUCCUUCCUUCCCAUAUCCCAGAUCCUCGGAGAGAGAAGAGGCAGAACAGUUCCUCAAGCCAGCAUGACGCUUUGCUUCAGAGACACUGUAGGAAGGACUGUGCCAUUCUGGCAGAGAUGAAGAACAAUUAUUCUUUCUGUUGUUGAACCUUCUCUUCAGGAAAUGACAUGUACCAGGGAGAUGAAUGAUCUUGAACUUUAUGUGUGUCCGGCACAUAUGCCACCAUCUGGGAUAUGCCACCAACUAUAGGAAGCAACCUAUGUGAAAAUGAAGAAUGUGCUACAAAUGCAAUGGUCUUUUUCAAGAAUUUCUGCUUCCCAGAGAAAUUUGAAAAUCCUGCUUCAGCACCAGCUGGGCUAUGGUAGGCAGUCUGGCCAGGAAUAUUGGCAGAAAUGUGAAAUCUCUUCAGUCCCAUGCGUGGUCUUCUAGCAACCCAUGUGGAGGCGAUGUGGUGUUUGCAGCUGCUCAUGCUUCUACGUGUAAGUACUUCCAAAGUGAGUAAAAUUGCUGAGAUGGGUAUCUCAUUCAGAGAAAGUAAGUAGACUUAAAAUAUGCAUAACUUGCUUCAAUAAUCAUGGGACAUUCUACACUGGCACAGCUUUCCUUGUGCCCUCUUCCUCACCUUUCUUCAACAUAUGCUGUGGCACAUCCUGGAAGAGAAGUCUCCCACCACCACUCCCUUGAUAUUGAUAUAAAGGCAGCUUCACAUCCACCCAGAUUCUUGCCUUUCCUCAGUAACCAUGAAAACACAACAUCCAUCUUUUCCUCUCUCUGACUGUGUCUUUGGACUUUGGGCCAGGCACACAGGAGCAGCUCCAGCCAUGUUGCCCCUGCAGCUGCUGCCAAAAUCUGGCUUGCCAGUGUGGUAAAUCUGGAACUGCUGAUGAUUGGCACUGCAAGACUUGCAUGCAAAGGGCAGGUCCUGUUCAGCAGCAGAUCCACAUUUUCCAUAGUGUUUUUUGUUGUCUUCAUGCCUCUCACCACAAUCAACUCCAGAAUGGGUGAUUCUUGAUAUUGGAGGAGGUGAUCCUGGAAAACCAGUAAGAAGCAUGAGCACAGUGGAAGAAAACCAGUGAGAAGCACCAUGGAGAAGAAAGAAGCAAAGAGCACAGAGCAACAGGCAGCAGCUGUUAUGAACACAAUCCGACUUCCAGGACCACCCACUGCUUCACUGAAGGAAUUGGCGUGGACUGAGUAUAUCCUGCAGCAAGAAUAAGGGAAAUUGAGACUAAGAAUUAAGGAGGAUAGGUGUUUGAAUUAAGGUGGGCCUGAGGAAGAAGAGGAAAAGAUGUUUUCUUGAGUGUUUAAUUGUUUAUGCUAUCUUUUUUUUUCUGAUAACUGCAUCAGUGAUUGAAAAUUUCUUUCAAUUGGUAAUUCAUUAAAUUAAGUAAAAGUUGCCCAGUUUUUACCUUUGAAGCUGGCAAGUGCAAUAGCCAAACCUUCACUUCAUGGACAUCCUUUAGCAUAUUCUGCUUUGAUAAAAUGGACAUGCAUUAAAACCUUUGGAAACUACAGGUAAGAUUAAGAGUCUUUAUCCUGUCUAAGUACUCUGAAGAGAAGAAUAUAUACAAAACUAAAGGAAGCUUUGACUGCAUUAAUACUAGGCUGACCUAAAGGUAAUUAAUGUUACCAGCUGAUACACUGGUUUGAAUUUACUCCUGUACUUCUGUAAUUGCUCAGCUCCCAGACUACAUCUGGUUUAUAUCUGUUUUGGAGUCAUGGAACAGACACACAAAAGGCUGCACCCAUCUCUAGCUAUUUCCUAUUUCUUUGUAGGUUAAAAAUGCAAAUUCUGAAAUUGAAUGAACAACAAUAAAAGCAAAGAAACAGUGUGAGUCUUUCUUCUAAUAAUGUUUCAAAAACUUAUUUUAUGAGAUUCAUAACAAGCUUAAGAACUCUAAAAGGGCAUGGUUGGUCAGAGGACCCUCUACUAUAUGGCCAAGAAGAGUUGCAUGUGAAGACAUCCCAAUAUAAUUAAAAGGAGUAUUCUGUCAGAUCCUCACUAACAAAGGACUAGAGAGCAUGUCCAUGUCAGCAUGUUGUACUCUCAGAGGGUAUUCAUUCUGAGUUUAGCAUCCUAAACAUAUGAAAAUAAGUGGGAGUUGGAGUGGCAGCACCUUCUAGGGGUAGGUCAACCUUUUCAUCCCCCAUUGGAGCAAGGUCAUUUAGGAGCCCAGGAAUACUCCUGUUUCCCUUUGGCUGGCUCUCUUGCCUUUUUGGCUUUUUUCUCCCCAGGUGCGAGGGUGGGUGAGAACUUGCUGAGUUGGUUUUGAAAAUGUAAAAUGUGAAGAAAGGGAAAUUAGACCCUGGCUGUGGUUUAAAUUGAAACAGAGAUCAAUGUCCAGCACUUUCAAGCAUAAUGGGUGUGUACACAGUUUGGGAGCAGUUCUGUAAGUUUGAUGUAAGUCAGUCUGCUUGUGUAAUUCUACCAUACCUUGUCCAGAUUCCUGUCUGCAGCUAUGUUUGUUUUAGAAAAUGUCUCUUCUAGUAUUAAAAAAAAAAAAUAAAUCAAAACAAAAGUUUUGUUGUUCUAGCACAGUUCGCAGUAAAAUCAGGAUUAGAAUUCUGCUUCUUAAAAACAAAGGUCUGCUAGCUGCCACACUGACUAAGCCACUUCAUCCCUUGUUACUCUCUGAACUCUUAAGUGGACUCAGAGAUUUGCCUACUACCCCAAAGCAGUGCGUGGAAGCAAAAGCCCUGUAGAGGGCUGGGUGGCUUCUAGAGUAACUAGGUGAUUUCUGAUUACAAAUGAAGGUGGGAAUUAUGUCCAAAUAGGUGCUUCUAAUCUUCAUGCUGAGGCUGCUGCAUGGUCCCAUGUCUCCUGCUAGAAGUGGGAGAAGAUGUGCUAGAUGCAGUUUCAGCAUAUAGAGUGAAGAGCAUUUCCUGUUGCCAUCUAUCUCGUUUGUAUGCGGGACAGUUAUCUAUGAUUGAGAGAUCCUUUUUCACUUAAUAAUCCCUUCCUCUGCAAUUGCACUGAACUUGAAACCAGAGCAGUUUUUUACAGUUCCUGUUGAGAUCCAGAAAGAGUUCAGUGGUACUAGUGGAAGAAAAUAGAUCUCCAACAUUAUUUGUUUUAAUUUCUAAGGGGAUGGCUCUAGCAACUGACUCAGGAAGCACUGAAAAGGAUGUAAUCUAGAAAAUACCAUAAUAAUGGCCUGUUUUACAGAACCCUGAGCAAUGGGUCAAGUCGUGGCCACAUUUUUUUAUAUACAAUGGUUUGAUGGUUUGGGGUAUGAAUGUCCAGGAAAGCAGGAGGUGACACAGAUGUGAGGGACAGAUGGCAGAGCUCUUCCUACAGCUCCUGAAGUGGCCAGAGAUUGCCCAGGCUUGUUCCACAGAAGUGAAUCCCUCUGCCUGGUGUACAUUCAUUUUUUAUAAUGCAAGAUGAAUGAAGCAAACCAGAUAACUUGGCCUUGAGAUGCUGCAGUUGUAAACAAAUUGUCCAGAAUAAAAAUAUUCAAAGACACAAGCCUCACCAUCCUCCCAGAC